rnacentral:rRNA from 1 species
ACGUAGGCAGCAAGCGUUGUUCGGAAUUACUGGGCGUAAAGAGUGUGUAGGCGGUGCUCUAAGUUCGGUGUGAAAUCUCCCGGCUUAACUGGGAGGGUGCGCCGGAAACUGGAGUGCUUGAGCGCGGGAGAGGAAAGCGGAAUUCCUGGUGUAGCGGUGAAAUGCGUAGAUAUCAGGAGGAACACCUGUGGUGUAGACGGCUUUCUGGACCGUAGCUGACGCUGAGACACGAAAGCGUGGGUAGCAAACAGGA